rnacentral:rRNA from 1 species
CAGUCGAGCGAUUUACUUCGGUAAAGAGCGGCGGACGGGUGAGUAACGCGCGUUUAACCUGCCCUGUACACACGGAUAACAUACCGAAAGGUAUGCUAAUACGAGAUAAAAUACUUUUAUCGCAUGGUAGAAGUAUCAAAGCUUUUGCGGUACAGGAUGGACCCGCGUCUGAUUAGCUAGUUGGUAAGGUAACGGCUUACCAAGGCGACGAUCAGUAGCCGACCUGAGAGGGUGAUCGGCCACAUUGGAACUGAGACACGGUCCAAACUCCUACGGGAGGCAGCAGUGGGGAAUAUUGCACAAUGGGCGAAAGCCUGAUGCAGCAACGCCGCGUGAGCGAUGAAGGCCUUCGGGUCGUAAAGCUCUGUCCUCAAGGAAGAUAAUGACGGUACUUGAGGAGGAAGCCCCGGCUAACUACGUGCCAGCAGCCGCGGUAAUACGUAGGGGGCUAGCGUUAUCCGGAAU